rnacentral:lncRNA from 1 species
UAGGAACACAGCAAUGGAUGGAGACAAAGGGUACAGCUUAUCUGCAUGAUUACAGUUCAUCUGUGGUUGCUGCGGUUCAUUUGCUCAGGUUAGAGAGGGAGGUCGAGUCCUUUGCCCACUUCUACCCCAAGUAUCUGCAGUAUCCCCUUGUUAAGUAUCUGAGAGAGCAAUCAAGAGAGCUGAGUUAGAAUUCAAGACAGGCCGAGAACUCCUACUGAGGUAAGAGGAGGAGAACCCACCAGCUCUACGAUGAAGGUUCCAACGAUGCCAAUCAUGCAUGCUCUUGAGUUCCACACCUCUGCAGUUCUUGUGAAGCCAAGGAAUGGCGCCGUGAGCUUCGGUUCCACCUUGGGCGCUUCCACCUGAGAAUCCAUGGGAAAGCGGCCUCUUGAUAUCCAUCACAGGUGAAGGAGGAGGAGAAGAUGAAGAGCUGAGUGUCGCAGGAUGGGAGACGGCGUACCCCA